UACGUAGGGUGCAAGCGUUGUCCGGAAUUAUUGGGCGUAAAGAGCUCGUAGGCGGUCUGUUGCGUCGGCUGUGAAAUCCCGGGGCUCAACCCCGGAACUGCAUCCGAUACUGCCGUGCUAGAGGAUUGGAGAGGUAGCUGGAAUUCUUGGUGUAGCAGUGAAAUGCGUGGAGAUCAAGAGGAACACUCGUGGCGAAAGCGAGCUACUGGACAAUAUCUGACGCUGAGGCUCGAAGGCCAGGGUAGCGAAAGGG
rnacentral:rRNA from 1 species